rnacentral:lncRNA from 10 species
ACCUGCUUUCUGGCGGGCAAGGCCAGGCUCCCGUGGGCUGCCUUCCUUCUGAAGUUUUCCAUUCAAUUAUUUACACGAGCCCACAGACCUCUGCAGGAAGUCGGCAGGCACAGGGUAGCAUUUAUUCUUCUGCUGUCUCAUUUGUGGAGGGACCUCCCUUCUCUUGAAUGUGGCUCCUUUGGAGGUCAGAGACUGAGGACGGUGGCAUCAUCUAGAUCCCCGUUGUUUAUUCUUGAGGCCAGAGCAUUGCCCACCAGGUGUUUCCCAGGCACGGACCCCUUGCCCAGCGUGGCAUUCAGAGGGGGCAGCUCCGGCCGCCUGCUCAGGAGUGGGGUGGGAUGGGGAGCUGCCUCUGGAGCCUUGUGCUGAAGGAGAGGACCGUUGACGGAGAAGGACAUCACCCAAGUCCUGGGGCCUUUGGGGAAAGUAGGAAACCUGCCUGUCCUACAGGAGAAGAGACCACCUCACCAACUUUGAAGGAUGCAGGCCUUGUUUAGAGCAGAUCUCAGAAUUGGUGCCCUGCGGGCUCCAGGCCUUGGCCCUGCUGGUGGAUGAAAGUGGCACAACCUGCCCUGAGGCCUGAGUGUCACGGGAACAACAGCUAGACGGCUAGACACUGGCCCCCUCACCCCACCUCCCAGGGUGGCACGGCUGUCCAGAUAUGGUGCUGAGGGAGAUAAAACAGAUCUGGUCUAGGCUGGGCGCGGUGGAACACGCCUGUAAUCCUAGCACUUUGGGAGGCUGAAGCGGGAAUAUCAUCUGAGGUCAGGAGUUUGAGACCAGCCUGGCCAAGAAAACCCCGUCUCUACUAAAAAGACAAAAAACUAGGCAGGCGUGGUAGCAUGUGCCUGUAAUCCCGAAAUUGCACCUCUGCACUCCAGCCUGGGCAAUAAAGCAA